UGCUAAUACCGCAUAACAACUUGGACCGCAUGGUCCGAGCUUGAAAGAUGGCUUCGGCUAUCACUUUUGGAUGGUCCCGCGGCGUAUUAGCUAGAUGGUGGGGUAACGGCUCACCAUGGCAAUGAUACGUAGCCGACCUGAGAGGGUAAUCGGCCACAUUGGGACUGAGACACGGCCCAAACUCCUACGGGAGGCAGCAGUAGGGAAUCUUCCACAAUGGACGAAAGUCUGAUGGAGCAACGCCGCGUGAGUGAAGAAGGGUUUCGGCUCGUAAAACUCUGUUGUUAAAGAAGAACAUAUCUGAGAGUAACUGUUCAGGUAUUGACGGUAUUUAACCAGAAAGCCACGGCUAACUACGUGCCAGCAGCCGCGGUAAUACGUAGGUGGCAAGCGUUGUCCGGAUUUAUUGGGCGUAAAGCGAGCGCAGGCGGUUUUUUAAUUCUGAUGUGAAAGCCUUCGGCUCAACCGAAGAAGUGCAUCGGAAACUGGGAAACUUGAGUGCAGAAGAGGA
rnacentral:rRNA from 2 species